rnacentral:rRNA from 1 species
AGCGUGUGGUUUAAUUCGUUGCUACACGAAGUAACCUUACCUGGGUUUGACAUAUAGGUUGUAGGGAACUGAAAGGGACCGACCUUCGGGAGCCUAUACAGGUGUUGCAUGGCUGUCGUCAGCUCGUGUCGUGAGAUGUUCGGUUAAGUCCGCUAACGAGCGCAACCCUCGUCGUAUGUUAUAUGUGUCAUACGAGACUGCCGGUAAAAGCCGGAGGAAGGUGAGGAUGAUGUCAAGUCAGCAUGACCUUUAUAUCCAGGGCUACACACACGCUACAAUGGUCUGUACAAUGGGUAGCCAAGCCGCGAGGCGGAGCCAAUCCUGAAAGCAGGCCUCAGUUCAGAUUGCAGUCUGCAACUCGACUGCAUGAAGCCGGAGUUGCUAGUAACCGCAGGUCAGCAAUACUGCGGUGAAUACGUUCCCGGGUCUU